AGGACGAACGCUGGCGGCGUGCCUAAUACAUGCAAGUCGAGCGGACAGAUGGGAGCUUGCUCCCUGAUGUUAGCGGCGGACGGGUGAGUAACACGUGGGUAACCUGCCUGUAAGACUGGGAUAACUCCGGGAAACCGGGGCUAAUACCGGAUGCUUGUUUGAACCGCAUGGUUCAAACAUAAAAGGUGGCUUCGGCUACCACUUACAGAUGGACCCGCGGCGCAUUAGCUAGUUGGUGAGGUAACGGCUCACCAAGGCAACGAUGCGUAGCCGACCUGAGAGGGUGAUCGGCCACACUGGGACUGAGACACGGCCCAGACUCCUACGGGAGGCAGCAGUAGGGAAUCUUCCGCAAUGGACGAAAGUCUGACGGAGCAACGCCGCGUGAGUGAUGAAGGUUUUCGGAUCGUAAAGCUCUGUUGUUAGGGAAGAACAAGUACCGUUCGAAUAGGGCGGUACCUUGACGGUACCUAACCAGAAAGCCACGGCUAACUACGUGCCAGCAGCCGCGGUAAUACGUAGGUGGCAAGCGUUGUCCGGAAUUAUUGGGCGUAAAGGGCUCGCAGGCGGUUUCUUAAGUCUGAUGUGAAAGCCCCCGGCUCAACCGGGGAGGGUCAUUGGAAACUGGGGAACUUGAGUGCAGAAGAGGAGAGUGGAAUUCCACGUGUAGCGGUGAAAUGCGUAGAGAUGUGGAGGAACACCAGUGGCGAAGGCGACUCUCUGGUCUGUAACUGACGCUGAGGAGCGAAAGCGUGGGGAGCGAACAGGAUUAGAUACCCUGGUAGUCCACGCCGUAAACGAUGAGUGCUAAGUGUUAGGGGGUUUCCGCCCCUUAGUGCUGCAGCUAACGCAUUAAGCACUCCGCCUGGGGAGUACGGUCGCAAGACUGAAACUCAAAGGAAUUGACGGGGGCCCGCACAAGCGGUGGAGCAUGUGGUUUAAUUCGAGCACGCGAGAACCUUACCCAGGUCUUGACAUCCUCUGACAAUCCUAGAGAUAGGACGUCCCCUUCGGGGGCAGAGUGACAGGUGGUGCAUGGUUGUCGUCAGCUCGUGUCGUGAGAUGUUGGGUUAAGUCCCGCAACGAGCGCAACCCUUGAUCUUAGUUGCCAGCAUUCAGUUGGGCACUCUAAGGUGACUGCCGGUGACAAACCGGAGGAAGGUGGGGAUGACGUCAAAUCAUCAUGCCCCUUAUGACCUGGGCUACACACGUGCUACAAUGGACAGAACAAAGGGCAGCGAAACCGCGAGGUUAAGCCAAUCCCACAAAUCUGUUCUCAGUUCGGAUCGCAGUCUGCAACUCGACUGCGUGAAGCUGGAAUCGCUAGUAAUCGCGGAUCAGCAUGCCGCGGUGAAUACGUUCCCGGGCCUUGUACACACCGCCCGUCACACCACGAGAGUUUGUAACACCCGAAGUCGGUGAGGUAACCUUUUAGGAGCCAGCCGCCGAAGGUGGGACAGAUGAUUGGGGUGAAGUC
rnacentral:rRNA from 1 species